UUAACUGUGGGCCUGCCGGCCAUAUCCGGCAGACUGGAAUACUGCCAGGGAAACUGGAAUUCCUGGUGUAACCGUGGAAUGCCCCAAUUUCCAGAAGAACCCCCGUGGCCAAAGGCGGUCCCCUGGCCAUUACUUACCCCUAAGAACCAAAGCCUGGGGAACCAACCAGAAUAAAUUCCCCGGUAAUCCCCCCCCUAAACCGUGGGUUCCAAGUUUUGGUUUCCUUUCCUUGGAUUCCUUGCCUAACCUACCCCUUUAAUUCCCCCCCCGGGGAAUUCCGGCCCCAAGGUUAAACUUCAAAGAAUUUAACGGGGCCCCCCCCAACCGCCGAACCUGGUGUUUUAUUUCACCCCACCCCAAAAAACCUUACUUGGUUUUAACUUCCCCAGAACCCUUCUAAAAAUAGCCUUUCCCUUGUGCCCGGUGUGCAGUUGUUGCAUGCUUGCCUCCACUUCUGGUCUUGAAAUGUUGGUUUAAUUCCCCCACCAACCCCACCCCUUGU
rnacentral:rRNA from 1 species